CAGUAGCCACGGGAAUACGAAGGGGGCUAGCGUUGCUCGGAAUUACUGGGCGUAAAGGGCGCGUAGGCGGAUGUUUAAGUCAGAGGUGAAAGCCCAGGGCUCAACCUUGGAACUGCCUUUGAUACUGGACAUCUUGAGUAUGGGAGAGGUGAGUGGAACUCCGAGUGUAGAGGUGAAAUUCGUAGAUAUUCGGAAGAACACCAGUGGCGAAGGCGACUCACUGGCCCAUUACUGACGCUGAGGCGCGAAAGCGUGGGGAGCAAACAGGAUUAGAUACCCCCGUAGUCCCUGUCUCUUAUAC
rnacentral:rRNA from 1 species